rnacentral:tRNA from 1 species
UGGGGCGUAGCCAAGCGGUAAGGCAACGGGUUUUGGUCCCGCUAUUCGGAGGUUCGAAUCCUUCCGUCCCA